AAGUGGCGGGAGCGCUGGAUGGUGUGGCCUCACUUCCAUCUGCAGAUGGGAGCACUCUCACCACCUAAGAAAAUAAAACCAACCCUGGACAGAGGAAAGAUGCCAGCCUUGCGGAACCCAGCCUUGAUGUUUUGGGCUAUGACAGCUGUGGGGUAGACGUGUUUGAGGAGAGCUGAAAACUGCUUCUUCGCCACAACAAUGUCCCCUCGCACCAGACCCAUCCUGAAAGCCAUGGUGGAGAAAGCAGUCUUCAGUGGGUUGAAGACCGCAAUAUCCAGGGGCUGAAGUAUGUGUGUGGUGUGGGCAGGAGUAUCUGAUAAAAUGACGGAGCCAUUUCCGGAAGAGCUCGGAGUCCAUGUAACCCUUCUCCUGGAUGCCAUAGAGGGUGUUGGGGGGGCCCAUCCAGCCUAUAGGCAUUACUUGGGAGGCAGCUGGGGUAAAUGAUGAAGGGUAGAAUGCUGUCCCCAGCUGCAUUCACACAGCAGUGGACCGUGAUGUGCUCCCUGGUCAUCUGCUGCUGCUGAUAGACCUGUUUCCUCCCAGUCUGGCACAGGACCUUCUCCCUGGACCGAGGCUUGUCUCCAAAGCAGGUCUCAUCGCAGUUAAAGAUGGGAUGUGGCUUGUUCUCCAGCUUGUGCUUCAAAUAAAGGGCCUCGUACAAUUUGAAGAAUGCUUUAAUGGCCUCCGGUAUAGCACCAUGGACUCUGGCUCUGUCCAGAGAAUCUGCCGUCCGAGUGGCCAAUUCUGGAUGCCGGGCCUUGAACCUGGACCACCACAGAUCACUUGGUCCCUUCUCCAGAUUUACAGUGGUGGUCUCGGUUCUGCCACUCUCCUUAAUGAUCCCAACAGCCAGUACUUUCACUAGGGGUCUUGUCACUGGGAAGCCAUGGUCUGCCAUCCAGAAUAUAAAGGAAAGGAGAGCCUCUUCCUCUCCAGGUGUCAGGGCCGAAUUAGGAUGAAGUUGGUUGUGGACAUAUUUAUUUUUUUAUAGUCCUGUAGAGUGGUGUGGGGAAUGCCAAUUUUUUUUGCUGUUGCCCUUAAACUUGUUCCUGCCUUUACUUCCUCAACUGCCUCCUUUAACUUCUCCUUUGAGUACUGUUUUUUCUUUAUUUUGCUUUACUGACUUUCCUUUGAACUAUGAUUAUAUGUUAAUCAUGUAACCUUAACUUCAAACGAUUGUUUAUAA